rnacentral:rRNA from 1 species
AGGAUGAUCAGUCACACUGGAACUGAGACACGGUCCAGACUCCUACGGGAGGCAGCAGUGGGGAAUAUUGCACAAUGGAGGAAACUCUGAUGCAGCAACGCCGCGUGGAGGAUGACACAUUUCGGUGCGUAAACUCCUUUUAUAUGAGAAGAUAAUGACGGUAUCAUAUGAAUAAGCACCGGUUAACUCCGUGCCAGCAGCCGCGGUAAUACGGGGGGUGCAAGCGUUACUCGGAAUCACUGGGCGUAAAGAGCAUGUAGGCUGGUUUGUAAGUUGGAAGUGAAAUCCUAUGGCUUAACCAUAGAACUGCUUCCAAAACUGCAGACCUAGAAUAUGGGAGAGGUAGAUGGAAUUUCUGGUGUAGGGGUAAAAUCCGUAGAGAUCAGAAGGAAUACCGAUUGCGAAGGCGAUCUACUGGAACAUUAUUGACGCUGAGAUGCGAAAGCGUGGGGAGCAAACAGGAUUAGAUACCCUGGUAGUCCACGCCCUAAACGAUGCACACUAGUUGUUGCUAUGCUAGACAUAGCAGUAAUGCAGUUAACAUAGUAAGUGUGCCGCCUGGGGAGUACGGUCGCAAGAUUAAAACUCAAAGGAAUAGACGGGGACCCGCACAAGCGGUGGAGCAUGUGGUUUAAUUCGACGAUACGCGAAGAACCUUACCUGGCCUUGACAUAGAUAGAACUUACUAGAGAUAGUUUGGUGCUAGUUUACUAGAGCUAUCAUACAGGUGCUGCACGGCUGUCGUCAGCUCGUGUCGUGAGAUGUUGGGUUAAGUCCCGCAACGAGCGCAACCCUCGUGUUUAGUUACUAACAGUU